GCCUGGGUGGCUCAGUCGGUUAAGCAUCUGACUUCGGCUCAGGUCAUGAUCUCACGGUCCCCGUGAGUUCGAGCCCCAUGUCGGGCU
rnacentral:tRNA from 1 species